AUUGAACGCUGGCGGCAUGCCUAAUACAUGCAAGUCGAACGAGUGGCGGACGGGUGUGUAAUGUCUGGGAAACUGCCUGAUGGAUGGGGAUAACUACUGGAAACGGUAGCUAAUACCGCAUACCAUCAGAUGUGCCCUGAUGGGAUUAGCUAGUUGGUGGGGUAACGGCUCACCAAGUCGACGAUCCCUAGCUGGUCUGAGAGGAUGACCAGCCACACUGGAACUGAGACACGGUCCAGACUCCUACGGGAGGCAGCAGUGGGGAAUAUUGCGCAAUGGGCGCAAGCCUGAUGCAGCCAUGCCGCGUGUGUGAAGAAGGCCUUCGGGUUGUAAAGUACUUUCAGCGGGGAGGCGUUACCCACAGAAGAAGCACCGGCUAACUCCGUGCCAGCCGCCGCGGUAAUAC
rnacentral:rRNA from 1 species